UAUCUGAUCGACAUUGAUUGG
ensembl:piRNA 21ur-4775 ncRNA